rnacentral:rRNA from 1 species
GAUCAUGGCUCAGGAUGAACGCUGGCGGCGUGCUUAACACAUGCAAGUCGAGCGAAGCACUUAGGAAAGAUUCUUCGGAUGAUUUCCUAAGUGACUGAGCGGCGGACGGGUGAGUAACGCGUGGGUAACCUGCCCCAUACAGGGGGAUAACAGUUAGAAAUGACUGCUAAUACCGCAUAAGGCCACAGCACCGCAUGGUGCAGGGGUAAAAACUCCGGUGGUAUGAGAUGGACCCGCGU